rnacentral:lncRNA from 1 species
CCCAGAUAAAUCAGUAACCCAUUCAGAUCCAUGAAGACACAGGAGCCAUUUGAAGCCUCUGGGAAAGACAAGCUUCCUCCUCUUCCAGAGAUGCUACCAGGAAAGAGGCUUGCUCUUCCUCCAGAAGGUAUAGGGAGAUCUGAGGCCUGGAGUUACUGCAGCCAUUUUCUGCCACACAUGGAGAGCCAGGAGCUGCCUAGAAGAGGAUGGGGAUGGCAGGACCAAGGAUCCGAACUCCCUUUGCCCUCAGAACAGAAGGUUAGCCACCAACUCUACCUCCGCCCUAUGCCCUGGGGAGUGGAGCCUCCAUUGUCGGUGGAAUCUCCCCCAGAGCCUUCUGCUCUAGAGGCAGGAGCAGGGUGGAGGUGCGUGACCUCACUGGAAUGAAGAAGGCGAAGCCCAGUCGAGGUCUCCAAGGAUGAGCCCAGCUGCAGGGGGCUGUCUUAUUCAUGACCCUCUGAAUCUGGGCUGGACUCAGUGACCUGCUCAGCCAACAGAAUUUGUAGAAGUAACAUUCUGGGACUUCUGAGACUAACUUACAAGAAACCUUGCUGCUUCUACCUGGGUCUCUUGGAACACCCUCACUCUGGUAGCUUUGAGCCACCAUGGAAGAACUCUGAUGACUCUAAAUUGGCCAAGUUAGAGAGAUUACAUGCAGGCUCUCUGGGACGUGGUCCCCGUCAGGUCCAGCCUUCUAGUUGUCUCUGCGACUCUGCCAAAGUGCCAGACAAUGAACGGAGCUGUUGUGGAUUCCCUCGACUUGCCCAGCUGUCAGUUGGACAUCUCAGUCAACACCACAUGGAACAGAAGAGUUGCGCAGCUGAGCCCUGUCCAAGUUUCUGACCCACAGAAUGUGAGAUAAAGAAAACGGUGGUGGCCAGGCGUGGUGGCUCAUGCCUGUAAUUCCAGCUCUCAGGGAGGCAGAGGCA